UGCAGUCGAGCGGUAGCACAGAGAGCUUGCUCUCGGGUGACGAGCGGCGGACGGGUGAGUAAUGUCUGGGAAACUGCCUGAUGGAGGGGGAUAACUACUGGAAACGGUAGCUAAUACCGCAUAACGUCGCAAGACCAAAGUGGGGGACCUUCGGGCCUCAUGCCAUCAGAUGUGCCCAGAUGGGAUUAGCUAGUAGGUGGGGUAACGGCUCACCUAGGCGACGAUCCCUAGCUGGUCUGAGAGGAUGACCAGCCACACUGGAACUGAGACACGGUCCAGACUCCUACGGGAGGCAGCAGUGGGGAAUAUUGCACAAUGGGCGCAAGCCUGAUGCAGCCAUGCCGCGUGUGUGAAGAAGGCCUUCGGGUUGUAAAGCACUUUCAGCGGGGAGGAAGGCGUUAAGGUUAAUAACCUUGUCGAUUGACGUUACCCGCAGAAGAAGCACCGGCUAACUCCGUGCCAGCAGCCGCGGUAAUACGGAGGGUGCAAGCGUUAAUCGGAAUUACUGGGCGUAAAGCGCACGCAGGCGGUCUGUCAAGUCGGAUGUGAAAUCCCCGGGCUCAACCUGGGAACUGCAUUCGAAACUGGCAGGCUAGAGUCUUGUAGAGGGGGGUAGAAUUCCAGGUGUAGCGGUGAAAUGCGUAGAGAUCUGGAGGAAUACCGGUGGCGAAGGCGGCCCCCUGGACAAAGACUGACGCUCAGGUGCGAAAGCGUGGGGAGCAAACAGGAUUAGAUACCCUGGUAGUCCACGCCGUAAACGAUGUCGAUUUGGAGGUUGUGCCCUUGAGGCGUGGCUUCCGGAGCUAACGCGUUAAAUCGACCGCCUGGGGAGUACGGCCGCAAGGUUAAAACUCAAAUGAAUUGACGGGGGCCCGCACAAGCGGUGGAGCAUGUGGUUUAAUUUGAUGCAACGCGAAGAACCUUACCUGGUCUUGACAUCCACAGAACUUUCCAGAGAUGGAUUGGUGCCUUCGGGAACUGUGAGACAGGUGCUGCAUGGCUGUCGUCAGCUCGUGUUGUGAAAUGUUGGGUUAAGUCCCGCAACGAGCGCAACCCUUAUCCUUUGUUGCCAGCGGUCCGGCCGGGAACUCAAAGGAGACUGCCAGUGAUAAACUGGAGGAAGGUGGGGAUGACGUCAAGUCAUCAUGGCCCUUACGACCAGGGCUACACACGUGCUACAAUGGCAUAUACAAAGAGAAGCGACCUCGCGAGAGCAAGCGGACCUCAUAAAGUAUGUCGUAGUCCGGAUUGGAGUCUGCAACUCGACUCCAUGAAGUCGGAAUCGCUAGUAAUCGUAGAUCAGAAUGCUACGGUGAAUACGUUCCCGGGCCUUGUACACACCGCCCGUCACACCAUGGGAGUGGGUUGC
rnacentral:rRNA from 1 species